CAAUAGCGUAUAUUAAAGUUGUUGCAGUUAAAAAGCUCGUAGUUGGAUUUCUGGUGGGAGCGAUCGGUCUGGCGCUUAGCGCGAGUACUUGCAUCGUCUCCGGCCAUCCUUGGGGAGAGUCUGUCUGGCAUUAAGUUGUCGGGCAGAGGAUCCUCAUCGUUUACUGUGAAAAAAUUAGAGUGUUCAAAGCAGGCUUAUGCCGUUGAAUAUAUUAGCAUGGAAUAAUAAGAUAGGACUUUGGUACUAUUUUGUUGGUUUGCGCACCAAAGUAAUGAUUAAUAGGGACAGUUGGGGGUAUUCGUAUUCCGUUGUCAGAGGUGAAAUUCUUGGAUUACGGAAGACGAACUACUGCGAAAGCAUUUACCAAGGAUGUUUUCAUUAA
rnacentral:rRNA from 1 species